UACGUAGGGGGCAAGCGUUGUCCGGAUUUAUUGGGCGUAAAGAGCGUGUAGGCGGCCAUACAGGUCAGCUGUGAAAACUCGAGGCUCAACCUCGAGACGUCGGUUGAAACCGUUUGGCUAGAGUCCGGAAGAGGAGAGUGGAAUUCCCGGUGUAGCGGUGAAAUGCGCAGAUAUCGGGAAGAACACCAGUGGCGAAGGCGGAUCUCUGGGAAGGUCCUGACGCUGAGACGCGAAAGCGUGGGGAGCGAACAGG
rnacentral:rRNA from 1 species